rnacentral:rRNA from 1 species
GGGGAAUUUUGGACAAUGGGGGCAACCCUGAUCCAGCCAUGCCGCGUGAGUGAAGAAGGCCUUCGGGUUGUAAAGCUCUUUCGGCCGGGAAGAAAUCGCCUAGGUUAAUACCCUGUGCGGAUGACGGUACCGGCAUAAGAAGCACCGGCUAACUACGUGCCAGCAGCCGCGGUAAUACGUAGGGUGCGAGCGUUAAUCGGAAUUACUGGGCGUAAAGCGUGCGCAGGCGGUUUUGUAAGACAGGCGUGAAAUCCCCGGGCUCAACCUGGGAACUGCGCUUGUGACUGCAAGGCUAGGGUACGGCAGAGGGGGGUGGAAUUCCACGUGUAGCAGUGAAAUGCGUAGAGGUGUGGAGGAACACCAAUGGCGAAGGCAGCCCCCUGGGUCGAUACUGACGCUCAUGCACGAAAGCGUGGGUAGCAAAC